CCAUCAAUAUGGAACCAACCUAGAUGAUGACCCACAGACUGAACCAGGGUUCAGAGAAUGAGGAAGCUCGUUCCAGGAAGAAAAACCAAGUACAGCUGGAGAAACAGAAGGAAAGUGUGUCGAAACAGCAUUUGACUGCAAUGGUAUAAAGUCUGGGAAACAGUUUGGAGCUACAUUACGUCAGGACCCAGCCAAAGAAUUUACAUGUGGAAAGAACCAGUACAGCCUCUAAGGACGCUAUCCUACCACUACAAAUAACAAUGAGUCCUUCAAGCCUGUAAUCCAGCACUCCUGAGACUGAAUAAAGUAAGAGCAUCACUCUUCAAUCAAGGCCAGCCUCGGCUACAUAGCGAGUUUCAGUUGGCAGCCAUGGUGCUGAAGGACCUAUGAGGCUGUGGUUCAGAUGUCCUGGGCUCCUGUGGGGUUUUAAUCUGGAAAGAAAACAGGGCCAUCGGAUGGGAAUAACUUGCUACAAAGACUCUUCUUGUGAAGCUGGAUGUGGUGGUACUGACCUGUAAUCCUAGAACAUGAGACUGAGGCAGGGGGAUCACUGUCUCAAA